CUUUGGAUAAAGAGGCUUACACUGAUUUCAACCAAACAAUUCCUCAUUGUGAAAUAAUAAUUCUGUCAUCAACAUGCAGACAGCUUAGUGGUUACACAGCAGCUAGCUAUCCUAUCCCACCUGCAGGUAUCCUUGUCAAUGCAACUUUGAUUUGUCAGGCAGCUGGUUGAGAUCCCUUGAAGUCAAGAUGAGCCAGGUCUGGGAGGAUUCCUGAUGAUAUCACUUUGUUACCCAAAUUUCCUUCCCCGUGGCCAGUGACUGGGUAACAAGUGAGCAUGGGACAGUGCGGAUGAUUUGAACUCAAGACGAGAUCCACUAGAAGCAUGAAGGAACAAAUGGUGGUGUGCCAGGAGACAGCCCCUAGAAAGUUAAUCCUACUUUGAAGACCUCUAAUUUCCCAGUCCUCAGCCAUAGCUGAUUGGACCAGGAAUAGGUGUCUGAAUGAAUAAACCACUGACUCUCAGAAAUUUGAACUGAAAGAGACAGAGCUACUUGAGCUGAAGAGUCAUAUGGAGGCUCCAUGGAAGUAGUGGUUUUCAGCAAAGCAUAAGAUAAUCAAACAUCAGAUACCCUUGGAGGAGAGAAUGACAAAUGGAUAGAUGUACAGAGUGAAAUGAAGUCAUAAGAAAGAGAGAUGCAGAGAUGGCAUUAUGUGAAGACAUUAACCUUGGUUACCAAAUUAAAUAUCCAGGCCCUGGACAGCCAACUACAUUUGCCUCAUCUUUUUUUUUUUUUUCAUUGACAAAUAAAAAAUAUGUUAGGCCGGGUGCGGUGGCUCACACCUGUAAUCCCAGCACUUUGGGAAGCCAAGGAGGGUGGAUCGCCUGAGGUAAGGAGUUGUAGACCAGCCUGAUCAACAUGGAGAAAACCCGUCUCUACUAAAAAUACGAAAUUAGCCAGACGUGCUGGCGUAUGACUGUAAUCCCAGCUACUUGGGAAGCUG
rnacentral:lncRNA from 10 species